CUUAACUAAUCAGUGAUCAAACAGUUUGACUCAUGGUGCAGCACAACCACAAAUAACCGCGUUGCAGCAAUAUCGAGCACUGAGCUUCUCCCCAGGGAAUUCCGCAUCUGCCUUUGGUUUCCCCGGCCUCCUUGAUCGCUAAUCACACGCAUCUGACAGCACACACGCAGCGUUGUGAGUACUUCUCAUAGUAAUGGAGAGUAAGACAAUGCAAGUGCACAAGUGAACACAACACCAAUUUCCAGUAAUAACCUCGAGUUGUACAUAAAGUGCCAACUGAAGAAGGUCUGGGUGGUGAUGACAUUUCCAUUUUAAAGAUUCAUGCAGUUCUGGUGACAGGUCUGUCAUUCAACCGAUGCAAUAAAGGUCGGGGCUUUGCUCUGGACUGAAACGCAGC